GAUUAGUACGGCGAGUGAGCGGUAAAAGCUCAAAUUUGAAAUCUGGUACUUUCAGUGCCCGAGUUGUAAUUUGUAGAAUUUGUCUUUGAUUAGGUCCUUGUCUAUGUUCCUUGGAACAGGACGUCAUAGAGGGUGAGAAUCCCGUUUGGCGAGGAUACCUUUUCUCUGUAAGACUUUUUCGAAGAGUCGAGUUGUUUGGGAAUGCAGCUCAAAGUGGGUGGUAAAUUCCAUCUAAAGCUAAAUAUUGGCGAGAGACCGAUAGCGAACAAGUACAGUGAUGGAAAGAUGAAAAGAACUUUGAAAAGAGAGUGAAAAAGUACGUGAAAUUGUUGAAAGGGAAGGGCAUUUGAUCAGACAUGGUGUUUUUUGCAUGCACUUGCCUCUCGUGGGCUUGGGCCUCUCAAAAAUUUCACUGGGCCAACAUCAAUUCUGGCAGUAGGAUAAAUCAUUAAGAAUGUAGCUACCUCGGUAGUGUUAUAGCUUAUUGGAAUACUGCUAGCUGGGAUUGAGGACUGCGCUUCGGCAAGGAUGUUGGCAUAAUGGUUAAAUGCCGCCCGUCUUGAACAAGGAACAAA
rnacentral:rRNA from 1 species